rnacentral:piRNA from 1 species
GACCAGUGUUUUAUUCGAGAA